CGAAAGCCUGACGGAGCAAUACCGCGUGAGGGAGGAAGGCUCUUGGGUCGUAAACCUCUUUUCUCAGGGAAGAAGAAAGUGACGGUACCUGAGGAAUCAGCCUCGGCUAACUCCGUGCCAGCAGCCGCGGUAAUACGGAGGAGGCAAGCGUUAUCCGGAAUUAUUGGGCGUAAAGCGUCCGUAGGUGGUUGUUCAAGUCUUCUGUCAAAGCGCGGAGCUUAACUCCGUAAAGGCAGAGGAAACUGAGCGGCUAGAGUGCGAUAGGGGCAGAGGGAAUUCCCAGUGUAGCGGUGAAAUGCGUAGAGAUCGGGAAGAACACCAGUGGCGAAAGCGCUCUGCUGGACCUGCACUGACACUGAGGGACGAAAGCUAGGGGAGCG
rnacentral:rRNA from 1 species